rnacentral:tRNA from 1 species
GGGCCCGUGGCCUAGAAGGAUAAGGCGGCGGCCUCCUAAGCCGCAGAUCGUGGGUUCGAGUCCCACCGGGCCCG